rnacentral:tRNA from 4 species
UCCUCUGUAGUUCAGUCGGUAGAACGGCGGACUGUUAAUCCGUAUGUCAUUGGUUCGAGUCCAGUCAGAGGAGCCA